rnacentral:rRNA from 1 species
UACGGGGGGGGCAAGCGUUGUUCGGAAUUACUGGGCGUAAAGGGCUCGUAGGCGGCCAACUAAGUCAGACGUGAAAUCCCUCGGCUUAACCGGGGAACUGCGUCUGAUACUGGAUGGCUUGAAUCCGGGAGAGGGAUGCAGAAUUCCAGGUGUAGCGGUGAAAUGCGUAGAUAUCAGGAGGAACACCAAUAGCGAAGGCAGCUCGCUGGGACGUUACUGACACUGAGGCGCGAAAGCGUGGGGAGCGAACAGG